rnacentral:rRNA from 1 species
AACGUAGGGGACAAGCGUUAUCCGGAUUUACUGGGCGUAAAGCGCCCGUAGGCGGCCUGACAAGUUGGACGUGAAAGCUCCUGGCUUAACUGGGAGAGGCCGUUCAAAACUGUCAAGCUAGAGUCUGGAAGAGGAGAGCGGAAUUCCCGGUGUAGUGGCGGAAUGCGUAGAGAUCGGGAGGAACACCAGUGGCGAAAGCGGCUCUCUGGUCCAAAACUGACGCUGAGGGGCGAAAGCGUGGGGAGCGAACGGG